AGCGUACACGGUGGAUGCCUUGGCAGUUGGAGGCGAUGAAGGACGUACUAACUUGCGAUAAGCCUAGUCAAGCCAGUAAGAGGCGCUUGAGACUAGGAUUUCCGAAUGGGGAAACCCACCUGCUUGCAGGUAUCGUUAACUGAAUACAUAGGUUAACGAGGCGAACGCGGAGAACUGAAACAUCUAAGUACCCGUAGGAAAAGAAAUCAACCGAGAUUCCGAAAGUAGCGGCGAGCGAAAUCGGAGCAGCCCUUAAGCUUUAGUGUAGUUAGUGGAAGAUGCUGGAAAGCAUGACGAAACAGGGUGAUAGUCCCGUACACAAAAACUUAUCUAAAGUGAAAUCGAGUAGGUCGGAGCACGUGAAACUUUGACUGAAUAUGGGGGGACCAUCCUCCAAGGCUAAAUACUCCCAACUGACCGAUAGUGAACCAGUACCGUGAGGGAAAGGCGAAAAGAACCCCUGUGAGGGGAGUGAAAUAGAACCUGAAACCGUGUACGUACAAGCAGUAGGAGCCUACUUGUUGGGUGACUGCGUACCUUUUGUAUAAUGGGUCAGCGACUUAUAUUCUGUAGCGAGGUUAACCAUUUAGGGGAGCCGUAGCGAAAGCGAGUCUUAACUGGGCGCUUAAGUUGCAGGGUAUAGACCCGAAACCCGGUGAUCUAGCCAUGGGCAGGUUGAAGGUUGAGUAACAUCAACUGGAGGACCGAACCCACUAACGUUGAAAAGUUAGGGGAUGACCUGUGGCUAGGAGUGAAAGGCUAAUCAAACCGGGAGAUAGCUGGUUCUCCCCGAAAUCUAUUUAGGUAGAGCCUCGGACGAAUACUUACGGGGGUAGAGCACUGUUAAGGCUAGGGGGUCAUCCCGACUUACCAACCCUUUGCAAACUCCGAAUACCGUAAAGUAAUAUCCGGGAGACACACGGCGGGUGCUAACGUCCGUCGUGGAGAGGGAAACAACCCAGACCGUCAGCUAAGGUCCCAAAGUGUAUGUUAAGUGGGAAACGAUGUGGGAAGGCUAAAACAGCUAGGAGGUUGGCUUAGAAGCAGCCACCCUUUAAAGAAAGCGUAAUAGCUCACUAGUCGAGUCGGCCUGCGCGGAAGAUGUAACGGGGCUAAACAUACCACCGAAGCUACGGCUGCGUACGUAAGUAUGCGGGGUAGGGGAGCGUUCUGUAAGUGGCUGAAGGUGUGCCGGGAGGCAUGCUGGACAUAUCAGAAGUGCGAAUGCUGACAUGAGUAACGACAAGAGGAGUGAAAAACUCCUCCGCCGGAAGACCAAGGGUUCCUAUCCCAUGUUAAUCAGGGUAGGGUGAGUCGACCCCUAAGGCGAGGCUGAAGAGCGUAGUCGAUGGGAAACGGGUUAAUAUUCCCGUACUCGGUAUGAAUGCGAUGGGGGGACGGAGCAGGCUAGGCAAGCAUGGCGUUGGUUGUCCAUGUGAAAGGCUGUAGGCUGGUGACUUAGGAAAAUCCGGGUUGCCAAGGCUGAGAGUCGAGACGAGCCACUAAGGUGGUGAAGUUGUUGAUGCCCUACUUCCAGGAAAAGCCUCUAAGCUUCAGUUCAUACUGAAUCGUACCCUAAACCGACACAGGUGGUCAGGUAGAGAAUACUAAGGCGCUUGAGAGAACUCGGGUGAAGGAACUAGGCAAAAUUGUACCGUAACUUCGGGAGAAGGUACGCUCUUGUUUGUGAAGGACUUGCUCUGUAAGCAAACGAGAGCCGCAGUGACCAGGUGGCUGGGACUGUUUAUUAAAAACACAGCACUGUGCAAAAUCGUAAGAUGACGUAUACGGUGUGACACCUGCCCGGUGCCGGAAGGUUAAUUGAUGGGGUUAGCUUAGGCGAAGCUCUUGAUCGAAGCCCCGGUAAACGGCGGCCGUAACUAUAACGGUCCUAAGGUAGCGAAAUUCCUUGUCGGGUAAGUUCCGACCUGCACGAAUGGUGUAACCAUGGCCACGCUGUCUCCACCCGAGACUCAGUGAAAUUGAAAUCGCAGUGAAGAUGCUGUGUACCCGCGGCUAGACGGAAAGACCCCGUGAACCUUUACUACAGCUUGGCACUGAACAUUGACCCUACAUGUGUAGGAUAGGUGGGAGGCUUUGAAGCAGGAACGCUAGUUUCUGUGGAGCCGACCUUGAAAUACCACCCUUGUAGUGUUGAUGUUCUAACUUAGGCCCCUGAAUCGGGGUUGAGGACAGUGCCUGGUGGGUAGUUUGACUGGGGCGGUCUCCUCCCAAAGAGUAACGGAGGAGCACGAAGGUUUGCUAAGUACGGUCGGACAUCGUACGGUUAGUGUAAUGGUAGAAGCAAGCUUAACUGCGAGACAGACACGUCGAGCAGGUACGAAAGUAGGUCAUAGUGAUCCGGUGGUUCUGAAUGGAAGGGCCAUCGCUCAACGGAUAAAAGGUACUCCGGGGAUAACAGGCUGAUACCGCCCAAGAGUUCAUAUCGACGGCGGUGUUUGGCACCUCGAUGUCGGCUCAUCACAUCCUGGGGCUGAAGUCGGUCCCAAGGGUAUGGCUGUUCGCCAUUUAAAGUGGUACGCGAGCUGGGUUUAGAACGUCGUGAGACAGUUCGGUCCCUAUCUGCCGUGGGCGUUUGAGAAUUGAGAGGGGCUGCUCCUAGUACGAGAGGACCGGAGUGGACGAACCGCUGGUGUUCGGGUUGUGAUGCCAAUUGCAUUGCCCGGUAGCUACGUUCGGAACUGAUAACCGCUGAAAGCAUCUAAGCGGGAAGCAGGCCUCGAGAUGAGUUCUCACUUUGA
rnacentral:rRNA from 1 species